UACAGAGGGUGCGAGCGUUGUUCGGAAUUACUGGGCGUAAAGCGCGCGCAGGCGGCCCUUUAAGUCCGUCGGUCAAAUGCCGGGGCUCAACCCCGAUGCAUGCCGAGGAUUCUGGAGGGCUGGAGACACGUAGAGGCAAGCGGAAUUCCGGGUGUAGCGGUGGAAUGCGUAGAGAUCCGGAAGAACACCGGAGGCGAAGGCGGCUUGCUGGGCGUGAUCUGACGCUGAGGCGCGAAAGCGUGGGGAGCGAACAGG
rnacentral:rRNA from 1 species